AGUGAACGCUGGCGGUAGGCCUAACACAUGCAAGUCGAACGGCAGCACAGUAAGAGCUUGCUCUUACGGGUGGCGAGUGGCGGACGGGUGAGGAAUACAUCGGAAUCUACUUUUUCGUGGGGGAUAACGUAGGGAAACUUACGCUAAUACCGCAUACGACCUACGGGUGAAAGCAGGGGAUCUUCGGACCUUGCGCGACUGAAUGAGCCGAUGUCGGAUUAGCUAGUUGGCGGGGUAAAGGCCCACCAAGGCGACGAUCCGUAGCUGGUCUGAGAGGAUGAUCAGCCACACUGGAACUGAGACACGGUCCAGACUCCUACGGGAGGCAGCAGUGGGGAAUAUUGGACAAUGGGCGCAAGCCUGCUCCAGCCAUACCGCGUGGGUGAAGAAGGCCUUCGGGUUGUAAAGCCCUUUUGUUGGGAAAGAAAAGCAGCAGGUUAAUACCCCGCUGUUCUGACGGUACCCAAAGAAUAAGCACCGGCUAACUUCGUG
rnacentral:rRNA from 1 species